rnacentral:rRNA from 1 species
UACGUAGGGUGCUAGCGUUGUCCGGAUUUAUUGGGCGUAAAGGGCUCGUAGGCGGUUUGUCGCGUCUGCUGUGAAAGACCGGGGCUCAACUCCGGUUCUGCAGUGGGUACGGGCAGACUAGAGUGCAGUAGGGGAGACUGGAAUUCCUGGUGUAGCGGUGAAAUGCGCAGAUAUCAGGAGGAACACCGAUGGCGAAGGCAGGUCUCUGGGCUGUAGCUGACGCUGAGGAGCGAAAGCGUGGGGAGCGAACAGG